rnacentral:misc_RNA from 1 species
AAGUUUAGUUUAGUUUAGUUGAGUAGUUAAUAUAUUGUAAUAAUUCCUAAUGUUAAGAUUUCAUUAUAUUUUAAUUAACAAUAAUUUCAUUUAAUUUUUGCCGAGUCAAUUUUAUUUAAAAUAAAUUCUCUUAUCAAUUUAAUUGGGCCCCUCUAAAUUAAAUUUUUGGCUCCAUCACUGACUACAGGAUCUAUAACUGAUAUUGAUCUUGUAAACCCAAAGAAACCAAAUUGCUAUGUGAUUCAUCAUUGGUUUGUGCACCCAACUUGAAAUGGAUGGUCGCCUCACAAAUGCAUAAACAUUUCAAACAUGAAUCAAUAUCCCAAAUGCAUGCUGAAACUUGGAAAAAGUAGGGCUCUAUAGGCACGCUUGCUAAAGUUGCUUUUUCAUUAUUGUUAUAUUUUUAUAAUAAUUGCAAAAAGCCAAAAAAGAAACUUUAUCUAGUUAACCAAAUGAAGCCUAAAAUAGAGUCACAUUGUUGUACAGCAUUAGUAUGAGUAACACAAAAACCAAAUGAAAAUAACAUUAGCAUUAUAGGGACUAAUAGUUAGUUGUCAGUACUCAUCAUUCCAAGAUCAAUUUUUUAAGCAUUAAGAAAAUAUUUUAGAUUUUAGUUUCCAUGGCUGUUCCUUCUUCAUUCAUGGUUGCAGACUAUGAUUUUAAUUUCUACCUGCAUGUUUAUAAAAUGCAAGGCAUAUUUGCGUCAUCCAGGGUUAUAUGGAAAGCUGAUUGCUGAACUGUAACAGUUAAAAGAAUUCAAUUAGAAAUGAAAAAUUCUUAUCCAAAUACGUGUAAAUGUGCAUUUCCACUGUAAUUAUCUUUUUUUAGUCAUGUAAUUAUCACUUGUUAAUCGACCUUUAAAUGACAUCAAACCAGAGCUGCAUCAUCCAUGCGGGUUUGGGCUCACCUAUAACAUUUCUGUCCUAGAAGUGGAGAUUAACAAAAAUAAGAAUAAAGUAAAAGAUACACAUGCUUAUGUCAAUUGAGGCAUUUGCUUAGAACUUUUAUGAACUUUGACCUUUUUUUUCC